GGGCCCGCACAAGCGGUGGAGCAUGUGGUUUAAUUCGAUGAUACGCGAGGAACCUUACCAGGGCUUAAAUGUAGUCUGACAGGGGUGGAAACACCCCCUCCUUCGGGCAGAUUACAAGGUGCUGCAUGGUUGUCGUCAGCUCGUGCCGUGAGGUGUCAGGUUAAGUCCUAUAACGAGCGCAACCCCUGCCGUUAGUUGCCAGCAUGUAAUGAUGGGAACUCUAACGGGACUGCCGGUGCAAACCGCGAGGAAGGUGGGGAUGACGUCAAAUCAUCACGGCCCUUACGUCCUGGCUACACACGUGCUACAAUGGUUAAGACAAAGAGUUGCGAGCUCGCGAGAGUCAGCU
rnacentral:rRNA from 1 species